AAUGAACGCUGGCGGCAGGCCUAACACAUGCAAGUCGGACGGGCACUUUCGGGUGCUAGUGGCGGACGGGUGAGUAACGCGUGGGAACAUGCCCUUUGGUACGGAAUAGCCUCGGGAAACUGGGUGUAAUACCGUAUGUGCCCUUCGGGGGAAAGAUUUAUCGCCAAAGGAUUGGCCCGCGUUGGAUUAGGUAGUUGGUGGGGUAAUGGCCUACCAAGCCGACGAUCCAUAGCUGGUUUGAGAGGAUGAUCAGCCACACUGGGACUGAGACACGGCCCAGACACCUACGGGUGGCUG
rnacentral:rRNA from 1 species